CGGGGCCGUGCCAGUGUCAGUCCCCAGCGCCCCCGGGGGAGGAUGAUCCCCGACACGUGGAGCAGGAAGGGCAGGACAGCCCCGGCCCCCGCGCCUGGAGCAUCCCGAAAGCGGGGCGGGGGGCGCUGCUGCGGGCCGGGCCGGGCCGAGAGCGCGUGGCGCGGGCGGAGGCAGACGCGGGACGGCCGUGGGGAGCGCCCGAGCCUGCGCGGGUCCGCCUCCUCCCCCGAGCGGCCCGAGAGCCGUUGGCGGCGCCGGGCACCCCGCACGCGAGGCUGUCGCGGGCCUGCGGGAGCGAGCCCGGGCACCCGGCCCCGCGCGGCGGCACGAGCGCCAGCCUGGCCUGCUUGCAAGGCGGUCACGUCCGGCGGUGAACUACGCCCGCUCCCUCCUUCCCCGCUUCAGCCCCCUGGGCGGCUCCCCGCCGGGCCGGGCAGGGCCGCCCCCGGACGAGCGCCCUGCUGCGGGGAGCGCGGGCACGUUUGGGGCCUCCAAGUGUUUUCGUUACUUUCCCACGAGACGAGGCCGCGCGAGCUUGUCAGGUUGCCUCAUGCUGCCUGUGCCCUUCCAGAAGACGGGCAGCAGCUCAAUGCCUAUAUCUAGAAACUCCCAAGUGAAGAAUUGAAAUGCAUCCUCCACACCGUGCCAGACCAUCCCUGCAGCUCUCAAGCACGAGGGACCAAGUGGAGGCUGGUCCCCAGGAUGCCUUCACUGAGGCACUGCAAUACCUGGGACAGGACUGUCCAACUUCUAAAGGCCCAUGGCUACAUGCCCCGGAGCCACACCAGCAGGAACAAUGGGCCCUCAGGCUGCCUGCCAAACAGGCAAGUGCUCUUCCACCCACCGCCCCACACAGCAUGGCACUUUGCCUCACCUGCAGCUCCCUGCAGGCUCCCGUGGGACGGUGCCACAUGGACACUCUGGGCUGCCAGCCCUCCUGGCACUGCAGGCUGUGCUGGGGGCUGGGCCAGGCAGUGGAAGGGGAGCCCCAAGCUGCUACUGCAGCCAGAGCAAGGGGCAGCAGUGGCCUGCCUGUUAACCCCUUGUGGGCCACAUGUGGCCAGUUGGAUAGCCCCAGCCUAUAAGUUAGGUGCUUUACCCCAGGCAGCAAUCCCAAAAGUCAGGGUUCUGUGCCUAGGGUCCCCAUAUAGUCUAUAAGGAACCUGAAGCAUUUCCAGAGCAAUUCAGGGACAGCAUCUCCACUUUCCACACAGAGUAGGAAGUUAUUCCCCUGCAGGGUGGCUCAGCGGGACUAGAGGCCCCUAGCAGUAAUCAACAGGAAAAACCACACACAGGAGGUCGUCUGAGCUGCUGCUCUUCCUGUAGCACAGAUGUCUGCCUCAGGAUCCAGGACCUUAACUGACCAGAGCGUCUUGAAGCUAACACUGAGCAGCAUCCUGCAAGGACGUUACAGUACCACGAGGUGCCAUGGUUCUCUAGCCAAGACUCACUGCUCUGAUGUAAGGUGCAUAAUAUUGCUGGACUCCCUGCCCAUGAGGAAUGACUUGUCACUAAUGCUUCAUCCUGCCUGCUUUCCUGUCCCACCGCCCUUGAAUUUCUGGCUCUUCUGUGGCCAUUUUAAAGUGGGAGCUGGAAGGUCUUCCCCAGGCUCUCCUACAGCCCAGAACGUACAGCUAUCUCUGGGAGGUGGGCAACCGGACUCUGAAUCCCUUGUGGCUGGGGAGGUCAUAUUAAAUGAUUCUAAAUAUUUCCCCGAGUCUUACAAUGGUAUUCUGACCCCUACUAUUGAGCUGUGAAGCCAGGGCCCUAGGCCACCUCUUGUUCCAUCAUACACUCGCACACCUUUUCUAAAGUCACGUUACUCUCCCCCCACACACUCCAAUCACCCCCGAUGGCUCAACCCAGCACAUUACAUGGUGGUUAUCACUGCCAGGGAAGCCCAGCUGGGAGCAGCAGUGGUUCAGAUUCCCAAGGGACAGGGCAUCUAUGGACCUCCGAGUCUCACACUCGUCAAUAAAACGAGUUUCAUGAAACAAAUCAGAAACUUUUAUUUGAAAAGUUACUACAAAAUCAGCUGCAAGCUGGCACAGAGGCACUGGACAGGUGCAUGUGUGCAGCACCCCUUCAGCAGUAGCCAAGGGACUACGAAGAAGGGGUGAUGCAUUUUAAGGCUAUCACAAGGCACUAGGUUUCACACAGAUCUUCCCUAGAGAAAUAUCAUGCACAGACAACUGCGUGUAAGCCCCCCCUGGGGAUAAAGAUAAGGGAGCUAAGCACGGGCACCUCCAGAAGUGGAAGCUGUGCUUCUCUUCUCUGAACUGCUUGGCCUUGGCAGGACCUUUUCCAUCUGGCCAGAACUACUUUCCCCACCCCCCCUUCGUUUCACAUGGAGACUGCCCCUUCUCCCUCCUGUCCCUCAGGGGCAUCCCUGGGCUUUACAGAUUCUGCAGUCAGAAGGCCACGGACACCUGGUAGAUGUCAGUCACACAACCAAAUGCAUAUGUGAAAGGCACGUGGUACUAUGAAGGUGGCCACAACGAAAGGAUCCAGGUAAGAAGCGGCUCGGGCCUGGAUCACAUUCUGAUGGUAGUACUGCACUGACAGAUCUCUCUGCAACAAUGGUCCCAUCUAUCAGCCUGCCUGCGUUUGUCCCAUGUUCACAGGGACAAGCUGGAACUGUUCAGUAUGGUCUCAACCAGGUGAGAACAGGCACCAAACGUCAUACCUGGGCACAUCAGGGAUGGAUGCGCUUGCAGGCAGGCCCUGUCCACAUGGAAACACUGGCAGGAAGAG